AUUGUAGCAGACAAAACACAGUCUUUUAUCAUGAAACAACAUAAACCAGAGCAGAAAUUUAAGGUUCUUCUCUUUUGAAAACUCAGAAUGUCUUUCAAAUAUCUUACCCAUGUGUAACACAUUCUGGAAAUUUUAACCCAAUUUCAUAAUGAGUGUAGACUUGAGAACAGACAUAGUUUAAAGACCAGACAUACUUAUAAGUUAAUUAGAUCUAUGCCUCUCAGGGAUAUAGCAGUGUUCUUAUUCUACAUAUACAUGAAGAAUUUAUAUUUUCACACCAGUAGGAAGUAUACCUACAUUAAGCCUUGGCAACAUGGCCAAACUCAUCUCUACAAAAUAUCAAAAAUUAGCCGGGCAUGAUGGCUCAUACUUGUAUUCCCAGCUACUCAGCAGGCUGAGGUGAAAGGAUCUCUUGAGCCAGGGGAGGUUGAGGCUGCAGAAAGCCGUGAUUGUACCACUGCACUUCAACUUGGGUGACAGAGUGAGACCCUGUCUCAGAAGAAGAAGAAAGAGGAAAGAAGAAAGAAGGAAGAAGAAGAAAAGAAGUAUACCUGCAUAUUAUAUAGAACAAGCUGCAGUGAGGACCUGAUAGUCAAAAUUACUUGGAGGAAAAUCACAGCUCUUCUCCCCUAGAAAGUCUGCUGAGUCUCACCAGGAGAAUCUCACAGGGAGGCUGCCACGAAUUCUCUCUGCAAGGACUGUGAAACUCAGGGUCCUGGAACCUGGGGAGAUCGAGGGACAACUGUACAUCAGCCUGCUGAGAAAUGUUUUGCAGGAUUCAUGAUUGGGAUCUUCGUACUAAGCCUUUCUUGAGGGAGUGUCUCAGACUCAACCAGCCUCAAUUUUCCCAUGAAUCCUUCUUCAUUGCCUUCCUAGAUUGCUACUCCGCAUCUCAGCUGACCCCAUACAAACAAACUCCAAUAGUGUCUCCAAUCGCGUGCUGUGUUAAAUUUUAACUUUAUAACCAACCAUCAUUUGCUACUUCCAUCUAACCAAGCCAGUUUCCUUAUGAUGCACACACUUGUGUUUAGCUCACAAUUUGUUCUACAUGCUUGCUUAUUUAUUCAUUCAGCAAGUAUUUAUUGAGCCCCAACUGUGCACUAGCUGCUGUCUCA
rnacentral:lncRNA from 1 species